GCCAGGUACGGUGGUGCACACCUGUAAUCCCAACAGCUUGGGAGGCUGAGACAUGAGGAUCUUGAGUUCAAAGUCAGCCUCAGCAACUUAGUGAGGCCCUAAGUGACUUAGCAAGAUCCUGUCUCAA
rnacentral:sRNA from 1 species